GGCCUUCGGGUUGUAAACUCCUUUCGCUAGGGACGAAGCUUUUUGUGACGGUACCUAGAUAAGAAGCACCGGCUAACUACGUGCCAGCAGCCGCGGUAAUACGUAGGGUGCGAGCGUUGUCCGGAAUUACUGGGCGUAAAGGGCUCGUAGGUGGUUUGUCGCGUCGUCUGUGAAAUUCCGGGGCUUAACUCCGGGCGUGCAGGCGAUACGGGCAUAACUUGAGUACUGUAGGGGUAACUGGAAUUCCUGGUGUAGCGGUGAAAUGCGCAGAUAUCAGGAGGAACACCGAUGGCGAAGGCAGGUUACUGGGCAGUUACUGACGCUGAGGAGCGAAAGCAUGGGUAGCGAACAGGAUUAGAUACCCUGGUAGUCCAUGCCGUAAACGGUGGGCGCUAGGUGUGAGGGUCUUUUCACGACUUUCGUGCCGUAGCUAACGCAUUAAGCGCCCCGCCUGGGGAGUACGGCCGCAAGGCUAAAACUCAAAGGAAUUGACGGA
rnacentral:rRNA from 1 species